UACGAAGGGGCUAGCGUUGUUCGGAAUCACUGGGCGUAAAGCGCACGUAGGCGGAUCUUUAAGUCAGGGGUGAAAUCCCGAGGCUCAACCUCGGAACUGCCUUUGAUACUGGGGAUCUCGAGUCCGGGAGAGGUGAGUGGAACUGCGAGUGUAGAGGUGAAAUUCGUAGAUAUCGCAAGAACACCAGUGGCGAAGGCGGCUCACUGGCCCGGAACUGACGCUGAGGUGGCGAAAGCGUGGGGAG
rnacentral:rRNA from 1 species